rnacentral:misc_RNA from 1 species
GAUGAAGAACGCAGCGAAAUGCGAUAAGUAGUGUGAAUUGCAGAAUUCCGUGAAUCAUCGAGUCUUUGAACGCACAUUGCGCCCCCUGGUAUUCCGGGGGGCAUGCCUGUCCGAGCGUCAUUGCUGCCCUCAAGCACGGCUUGUGUGUUGGGCCUCCGCCCCCCGGCUCCCGGGGGGCGGGCCCGAAAGGCAGCGGCGGCACCGCGUCCGGUCCUCGAGCGUAUGGGGCUUCGUCACCCGCUCCGUAGGCCCGGCCGGCGCCCGCCGGCGACCCCCCUCAAUCUUUCCAGGUUGACCUCGGAUCAGGUAGGGAUACCCGCUGAACUUAAGCAUAUCAAUAAGCGGAGGA